UGAUAUUUCUAUCUCUCUCUUCCUUCCUUUCUGAAAUCAAUACAAAUAUAUAUUAAAAAAAGAAAAUAAAGGAAUUUUCAAGGCUGCUAGUCAAGAUUAAGUGGUAGUCUAUUUCUCCUACAGAA
rfam:Myotis brandtii contig244719, whole genome shotgun sequence.